ensembl:lncRNA
CCUCAAUAUUUGUACAGUGGUUGGAAUAUCUAAAAGUAUAAAAAGUACUAAUUAUUAUUUACUUUUUAUGGUUGUUUUCAAAAUUAUGCCCUCUAAAUUUACUCUGUUCUUCUGAGGUUAUUAAAAAAAAAAAGUAGUUAUAUUAAAUAAUAUACCAGAGGAGAAUAUGUUGUAAUCUUGUGCAUUGUGGCAGCAACAUAAAUCCCAUUCCUAAGAGAGCUAGCUGUUUAUAAUUAUCUGCUUUAUGUGUACUGCUGCAGGAUGGCUGCACUCAACAAGUAUAUGCAAUGACUUCCUGGGAUGUUCAACAAGUAUAUGCAAUGACUUCCUGGGAUGUUUCUGAAGGAUAUUUGCAAAGGAAGAUGUGUGAAGUGUAGGCCCCUUGCACUAUAUGUGUGGUACAUUUCACUUGUGCCAGAUUGCAGUGUAAGCUCAGAACAUUUAAAGAUCCCAGUUAACAAAGUGGGUUUUUCUUCUCAGAGUCUGGAAAGAGCAGCGAAAGAAAAGGUGGUAGAUCUCGUUCCCGUUCUCGUUCAGAAUCCAGAUCUAGCUCAAAAUCCCGAUCUAGAAGGAAAAGAUCACACUCAAAACACAGAAAUAGAUCUGGCAACAGAUCGCUCUCAAGACACAAGGACAGACGCAGAUCCAGAAGUCCCCUGAAAAAACGGUCUAGAUCUAGGGAAAGGCAGAAAUCAAGAAGUCGCUCUCAUUCUCGGUGAGUUUUGUUCCUAAGAAAUGAUACUGUUCUUCGUAGCACACAGUACAAGGUUUUUGGGAAAAAUCUAACAGAACUUUUAGGUGAUGGCAGAGGAUGGAAUUUCUAAAUCCUUUAGCCUGUCCCUAGGCUUUUUUUGUGGGACAAAAGAAUAGAAAGUAAAUUUUUAUGUUGAGUGUACUGGUUUUGGCUGGGAUUAAUUUUCUUCACAGUAACUCAUAUGGUGCCUAUGGUGGCUAAACCACAACACUGAGGUACUUAAACUUUGAUACCAAAGUCUACUCUACAUUUAUACCAACAUGCAAGCUGAUCAAAAAAUAGGUAAUUUUAAUUGUCAGACUUUAACCAACAGAUUAGGUAUGUUUCGUGUAGCCUGUGCAACGCACAAAAAAGUGGAUGAUGCUACUUCAGCUUUCUCAACAGAUACAGAUUGGAUUCAGGCUGAACUUGAUCCUGCAUUCUGAGAACAUGUAUAAAGUUUUUGUGCAUGAGCUUUUAUUUUUGCCUUUGGCUACUUCAUAUUGGCCAUACACUGCUGUAGGCACAAAUGCAUAUGACUUUUAUGUGGCAUAUUUACAUUUCAGGAUCUAAUACAUCUGUAUUUUACCUAGUCUAUUAAUUUUUAAGUCUGAUUGUCUAAUUAUUGAACUGUGAAAUUUCAGCAGGGUAAUUCCAUGAAUGAUAAUGUAAUUUUCUGAGGAUGAAAUAGUGAAUAUUCACAAAACAAAAGUGCCUAUGAAGGUAGCUUCAUGAAUAGAAGCCUUGGUACUUUUCUUUCUGUUUCAUCUCUGCAGUUCCCCACUUUUCUUUCUGUUUCAUCUCUGCAGUUCCCCUGACUCAUUUAAAGGGAGCUUCAUACUUAGGUGGUGGUCCUGGUUUCAGCUGGGAUAGAGUUAAUUUUCUUUCUAGUAGAUGAUAUAGUGUUGUGUUUUGGAUUCAGCAUGUGAAGAAUGUUGAUAAUACACUGACACUGAUGUUUUCAGUUGUUGCUAAGUAAUGUUUAGUCUAAAGUCAAGGAUAUUUCAGCUUCUCAUGCCCAGCCAGCAAGAAGGCUGGAGGGGCACAAGAAGUUGGGAGGGGACACAGCCAGGGCACCUGACCCAAAGUGUCCAACGGGGUAUUCCAUACCAUGUGAUGUCAGGUCUAGUAUAUAAACUGGGGGGAGUGGGGGUGGGAGUGGGGGGGCCCGUCAGGGACUAACUGGGCAUCAGUCGGAAGGUGGUGAGCAAUUGCAUUGUGCA